rnacentral:rRNA from 1 species
GCAAAACAGCUAGCCUAACCACAAUAAAACAAAUGACCAAGCAUAUAUAACAAAAUAAACCCAAAUAUAAAAUAAAACAUUCUUCCCCCUAAGUAUAGGUGAUAGAAAAGGACAAAACGCGCAAUAGAAAAAGUACCGCAAGGGAAAGCUGAAAGAGAAAUGAAACAAUCCAUAUAAGCAAAAAAAAGCAGAGACUAAAACUCGUACCUUUUGCAUCAUGGUUUAGCAAGUAAAAAUCAAGCAAAGAGAACUUUAGUUUGAAACCCCGAAACUAGACGAGCUACUCCGGGGCAGCCUAAUUAGGGCCAACCCGUCUCUGUGGCAAAAGAGUGGGAAGACCCCCGAGUAGAGGUGAUAAGCCUACCGAGCCUAGUUAUAGCUGGUUGCUUAAGAAAUGAAUGUUAGUUCAGCCUUAUGUAAUUCUAUAACCAAAACUUAUUAACAAAAAGAACAAAAGCAAUACAUAAGAGUUAGUCAAAGGGGGUACAGCCCCUUUGAAACAGAACACAACCUUAUUCAGGAGGACAAGGAUCAUACCAUAAAAGGACAAAAUUACCUCAGUGGGCCCAAAAGCAGCCACCUGUAAAGAAAGCGUUAAAGCUCCGGUAAAUACAGACCAAUAAUAAAGACAAUACACUCCCCACCCCCUAAAAAUAUUAAGCUAUCCUAUGCACACAUAGGAGAAACAAUGCUAAAAUCAGUAAUAAGAGGGCCCAAGCCCUCUCCUAGCACAUGUGUAAGUCAGAACGGACCGACCACUGACAAUCAACGGACCCAAACAGAGAGAAAAAGAACAAACUACAAAAAACAAGAAAAAUCUAUUUAAUACCACAAACCGUUAACCCAACACAGGAGUGCCUAAAGGAAAGACUAAAAGGAGAAGAAGGAACUCGGCAAACACAAACCCCGCCUGUUUACCAAAAACAUCGCCUCUUGCUAACAAAGGAAGUACUAGAGGUCCCGCCUGCCCUGUGACCACAAAGUUUAACGGCCGCGGUAUCCUGACCGUGCGAAGGUAGCGUAAUCAUUUGUCUUUUAAAUAGAGACCUGUAUGAAUGGCAUAACGAGGGUUUAACUGUCUCCUUCCCCUAGUCAAUGAAAUUGAUCUGCCCGUGCAGAAGCGGACAUAAACACAUAAGACGAGAAGACCCUAUGGAGCUUUAGACAAAAGAUCAAACAUGUAAAGAAACCAAGUUAACCAAAAGGAACACAAAGGCCACGAAACCCGACGUAAACUGAUCCAAAUGUCUUCGGUUGGGGCGACCAUGGGGGAGAAAAAAGCCCCCACGAGGAACAGGGACUAAUCCCUAAGCCAAGAGAGACAUCUCUAAGCAACAGAAAAUCUGACCAAAAGUGACCCAGAAUACUAAUUCUGAUCAACGAACCAAGUUACCCUAGGGAUAACAGCGCAAUCCUUUCCCAGAGUCCAUAUCGACGAAAGGGUUUACGACCUCGAUGUUGGAUCAGGACAUCCUAAUGGUGCAGAUGUUGGAUCAGGACAUCCCAAUGGUGCAGCCGCUAUUAAGGGUUCGUUUGUUCAACGAUUAAUAGUCCUACGUGAUCUGAGUUCAGACCGGAGUAAUCCAGGUCGGUUUCUAUCUAUGAACUUACUUCUUCCCAGUACGAAAGGACCGGAAUGAAGAGGGCCAAUACUAAAAGCAAGCCCUACCUCUACCUGCUGAAAGCAAAUAAAACAGACAAAGAGGUAUAUCAAACCUACCAAAGAUAAUGGUAU